UACAGAGGUCCCAAGCGUUGUUCGGAUUCACUGGGCGUAAAGGGUGCGUAGGUGGUGGGGUAAGUCUGAUGUGAAAUCUCCGAGCUUAACUCGGAAAUGGCAUUGGAAACUACCUCGCUUGAGGGUUGGAGGGGGGACUGGAAUUCUCGGUGUAGCAGUGAAAUGCGUAGAUAUCGAGAGGAACACCAGUGGCGAAGGCGAGUCCCUGGACAACUCCUGACACUGAGGCACGAAAGCUAGGGGAGCAAACAGG
rnacentral:rRNA from 1 species